ACCCCAAUCUAUUUUCACGGAAUCUCUUCUCAUCGUGCGUCUUCUCCUUCGCAUCCCUUUGCUUCUUCACGUCAUCUCUUUCACAGAGUUCUCAUUCUCUCGAAUCUCUUGUAUUCUUCCUAUUAUUUUUUUCUUGCUGAAUCAAAUGAAUCACACUCCUGAGAAGCCACAAGACUCAUGAUAAAAGAUGUGGGCAGCAGAGUGCAUAAUUCAAUACUUUUUCUGUGGGCUGUGGGGUGGAGAAAAUUAGCAAGGAUGGAUCUGGUAUUUUGCCUUUAUGAGUUGGUGACCACCUUUUCUAUUCAUUCUUCUACACAUAAAGGGAAUAAAUUGUACUUGUUUUUUCUGGGUAAUCUCAUUACACCUUAAGCAUUUAUAAGUUAAGAUAUAUCUAUGAUUCCA